UAAUACGGAGGGUGCGAGCGUUAUCCGGAAUUACUGGGUUUAAAGGGUGCGUAGGCGGCUAUGUAAGUCAGGAGUGAAAGUUUGCGGCUCAACCGUAAAAUUGCUUUUGAUACUGCAUGGCUAGAAUUAGGAUGAGGUCAGCGGAAUGUGGCAUGUAGCGGUGAAAUGCAUAGAUAUGCCAUAGAACACCAAUUGCGAAGGCAGCUGGCUAGACCUGGAUUGACGCUGAGGCACGAAAGCGUGGGGAGCGAACAGGAUUAGAUACCCUGGUAGUCCACGCCCUAAACGAUGCUCACUCGACGUAUGAUGCUAGACAUUGUGCGUCCAAGGGAAACCGUUAAGUGAGCCACCUGGGGAGUACGACCGCAAGGUUG
rnacentral:rRNA from 1 species